GGCAACGUAGCUCAGCGGUCAGAGCGGGCGCUUCAUAAGCGCUAGGUCACAGGUUCAAAUCCUGUCGUUGCCA
rnacentral:tRNA from 1 species